rnacentral:rRNA from 1 species
GAUGAACGCUGGCGGCGUGCCUAAUACAUGCAAGUCGAGCGAACGGACGAGAAGCUUGCUUCUCUGAUGUUAGCGGCGGACGGGUGAGUAACACGUGGAUAACCUACCUAUAAGACUGGGAUAACUUCGGGAAACCGGAGCUAAUACCGGAUGAUAUUUUGAACCGCAUGGUUCAAAAGUGAAAGACGGUCUUGCUGUCACUUAUAGAUGGAUCCGCGCUGCAUUAGCUAGUUGGUAAGGUAACGGCUUACCAAGGCAACGAUGCAUAGCCGACCUGAGAGGGUGAGCGGCCACACUGGAACUUAGACACGGACGAGAGUACUACGGGAGGCAGCAGGCGGGAAUAUUGGACAAUGGGCGCGAGCCUUAUCCAGCCAUACCACGUGGAUGAAGAAGGUCUUCGGGUCGUAGAACCCUUUUGUUGGGAAAGAAAAGAAGCCGGUGAAUACCCCGCUGUUCUGACGGUACCCAAAGAAUAAGCACCGGCUAACUUCGUG